rnacentral:tmRNA from 1 species
GGGGAUGUUUUUGGGAUUCGACAGGCGUAGAUUCGCAUUGACUGCGAUUCGUAGGUUACGUCUACGUAAAAACGUUACAGUUAAAUAUAACUGCAAAUAACAAAAAUUCUUACGCAUUAGCUGCUUAAUUUAGCGCAUGCGUUGCUCUUUGUCGGUUUACUCGUGGCUGACACUGAGUAUCAACUUUAGCGAGUUACGUUUAACUAUCUCACCUGAAUAGUUGAAAAGAGUCUUAACAGGUUAGCUAGCUCAUCCUAGCUCUGUUAUAUGGCGUUUUGAGCUAGUGAAGUUCAAGUAAUAUAACUAUGAUCGUAGAGGUCAGUGACGGAAUGCGUCUGGACAGGGGUUCAACUCCCCUCAUCUCCAUCG